GAUGAACGCUGGCGGCGUGCUUAACACAUGCAAGUCGAACGAAGCAUUUGCGACAGAUUUUUUCGGAAUGAAGUUGCUUAUGACUGAGUGGCGGACGGGUGAGUAACGCGUGGGUAACCUGCCUUGUACUGGGGGAUAGCAGCUGGAAACGGCUGUUAAUACCGCAUAAGCGCACAAUGUUGCAUGACAUGGUGUGAAAAACUCCGGUGGUAUAAGAUGGACCCGCGUCUGAUUAGCUAGUUGGUGAGAUAACAGCCCACCAAGGCGACGAUCAGUAGCCGACCUGAGAGGGUGACCGGCCACAUUGGGACUGAGACACGGCCCAGAAUCCUACGGGAGGCAGCAGUGGGGAAUAGUGCACAAUGGAGGAAACGAUGAUGCAGCGACGCCGCGUGAGUGAAGAAGUAAUUCGUUAUGUAAAGCUCUAGCAGCAGGGAAGAUAGUGACGGUACCUGACGAGGAAGCUCCGGCUAAAUACGUG
rnacentral:rRNA from 1 species